UUUUUAUUCAUUUAUUUGUGUGUUUUAUUAGAUAUGAGUAGUACCUGAUCUAGUCCCUUUACGUAUUAUUGUGUUUCUUUUGGAAUUUAAGUUGAAUUAUGCGGUUUUGGAUAUGAUUAUCAACUGCAGCUAAUUAUUUUCAAGCAAAGAUAAACUGAUAAAUGCUUAAAAAGUAUCAUUAGAAUCAAAUUUUGACAAAACUUUGCUGGAGAGACGAAUCAGCUUCUUUUUUUUCAAGUGGGUGGGGGACUACGUGGAAGAAAAUUUAAUGGUUUCAUUGUUUUCAAAGAAAUUAUUAUUUCUUUUGUUUUAUUAAUUUUCUAUUUCAAUGGAAUCUGUAGCUCUUCUUUCUUUCUUUCAUUUGGUUGGUAAUGGUAUAUUGCUGAUUGUUGAAGUACACUUGUCACAAUGACAGAUUAG
rnacentral:misc_RNA from 1 species